AGCGAACGCUGGCGGCAGGCCUAACACAUGCAAGUCGAACGCGUGUAGCAAUACACGAGUGGCAGACGGGUGAGUAACACGUGGGAACGUGCCCUUCGGUUCGGAAUAACUCAGGGACACUUGAGCUAAUACCGGAUACGCCCUUACGGGGAAAGAUUUAUCGCCGAUGGAACGGCCCGCGUCUGAUUAGCUAGUUGGUGAGGUAACGGCUCACCAAGGCGACGAUCAGUAGCUGGUCUGAGAGGAUGAUCAGCCACACUGGGACUGAGACACGGCCCAGACUCCUACGGGAGGCAGCAGUGGGGAAUAUUGGACAAUGGGCGAAAGCCUGAUCCAGCCAUGCCGCGUGAGUGAUGAAGGCCCUAGGGUUGUAAAGCUCUUUCGGCGGGGACGAUAAUGACGGUACCCGCAGAAGAAGCCCCGGCUAACUUCGUGCCAGCCGCCGCUGUAACAC
rnacentral:rRNA from 1 species